rnacentral:rRNA from 1 species
GACGAACCGAGCGAACGUUGUUCGGAUUUACUGGGCGUAAAGGGCGCGUAGGCGGCCACCGCAAGUCGACUGUGAAAUCUCCGGGCUUAACCCGGAAAGGUCAGCCGAUACUGCGGGGCUAGAGUGCAGAAGGGGCAACUGGAAUUCUCGGUGUAGCGGUGAAAUGCGUAGAUAUCGAGAGGAACACCUGCGGCGAAGGCGGGUUGCUGGGCUGACACUGACGCUGAGGCGCGAAAGCUAGGGGAGCGAACGGG